AGUCUCACGUCUGAACGUGUCACUGUCACGUUAAUUAAUCUAUUGGGACGUGUUGUGUAACACGUUUCCUUGUUAAAAAACGUGUUGAGCAGGACGUAAUUAUCGUGUUACUAUCACGUUGUAUUUCGCAUUCAAUGAGCCAACAGAACCACGUCAUCUGUCAAAAAAGCCCGACCCAAAAUGGCCAGAAUGUUAUUUGAUGCUUUUGACGUGCAGUUUCAUACUCUUAAGCCUGCUUUGAGUUGUGGGUUAGAAGGAGCCACCUUCUAGCUAGCAGUUUUAGAAGGCUGAACCCCAGAAUCCAGAAACAAGAACCGAGCAGGGACGGAGAAAAAAGAAGAAUCCAAAUGGGAAAUGAGAUAAGGCCUCUUCAUUUUCAACUGUGAAGGAUCUACAUGGACUUGGUCUGGAUAGCCUUUCCUGUUUUGAUGAGCCAGUCGGGUCUAGAGGGAAAACCCUAUAUGAGCCCCAGGAUCCUUGCUCCUGAUAUCCUGAUGUAUGGGUUGCACUUCAUUAUAUGACUCCAACAGAACACUCACAGAAAGGAGAGUGAUGCCAAACUACAAGACAGCCAGCAUAUCCUCGCUCCUGAUAUCCUGAUGUAUGCAUUCCAUUUCAUUAUAUGACUCCAACAGGACACCUACACAAAGGAGCUGUUAAAGCAGUGUCCUUCUACAAACAACAAGACAGCGAGCAUGUAAACAAGGCCUUGUUUGUCCACUUCCUGAAGGGGCUGAAGCAUGCUGGCCUUGACACCUCAGUCCUUGCUUCCAUUUACAGCUGUGUUGUGGAGCGCAUUCUCACAUCCUAUGGUCUGCAGCGGGUGGUGUCAUCGCGUUAUUUAUCAUCGUUUGUGUAAAUCUUACACAUCUUACACAAAAGUCUAAAAUAAUCUAAACUUCAUUUACUCUCCAUGUAUAGAUCAAGAUAGACUUGCAGAACAGGCUGCAGGGCAACAGUCUGAUAGCCUGCAUGAAAGCAUAAAUGGUCCGCACUUGUUAAAGAGUGCAAUUAUCAAAGGGCAUUGAUAUUGUGUUUUUUUAAACCAAGGAGGAUGGCUGUAGCGAUGCUGUCAGCUCUGCCAUAAGCAGUGACUGUGAUUACGUUUGCACAUUUUGAAAAUGUUGUUUUUCUUUCUUUUGCAUUCUUUUCCACUUCAUUGUUGUAUAGUUUGUAUAAUGUUUGUUAAAGUUGCACACAUUAAUUCACUGUUCUUAUUUGUAAAAAAUUGUAUAGUGUGGUAUAGUUUGUAUGGUGGAGUCUUUAUUGUAUCGUACAAAC